GAUGAAGAACGCAGCGAAAUGCGAUACGUAAUGUGAAUUGCAGAAUUCAGUGAAUCAUCGAAUCUUUGAACGCAUAUUGCGCUCUCUGGUAUUCCGGAGAGCAUGCUUGUUUGAGUAUCAGUAAACACCUCAACUUCCAUAUCUUUUUUGAAAUGGGAGUUGGACUUGAGUGAUCCCAACGCUUUUCCUCACCGAAAAGUGGCGGGUUACUUGAAAUGCAGGUGCAGCUGGACUUUUCUCUGAGCUAUAAGCAUAUCUAUUUAGUCUGCCUAAAAAACAGAUUAUUACCUUUGCUGCAGCUAACAUAAAGGAGAUUAGUUCUUGUGCUGACUGAUGCAGGAUUCACAAAGACAGGCUUCGGCCGACUUUGUAAACUCGAUCUCAAAUCAAGUAAGACCACCCGCUGAACUUAAGCAUAUCAAUAAGCGGAGGA
rnacentral:misc_RNA from 1 species